rfam:Cyclospora cayetanensis strain CHN_HEN01 contig_2017, whole genome shotgun sequence.
UUCAUGCCGUAACAUGAAGCGAGUCGCCCCGUAAGGCGGCGGCAAACUGAAUGUGGCUAU